GAUGAACGCUAGCGGGAGGCUUAACACAUGCAAGCCGAGGGAGAACUCACUUUCGGGUGACGGACACCGGCGGACGGGUGAGUAACGCGUAUGUAACAUACCCUUAUCAAUGGGAUAGCCCAGAGAAAUUUGGAUUAAUACCGUAUAAUAUAUUUUAUGGCUUCAUAAGAUAUUAAAAGAUUUAUCGGAUAAGGAUUGACAUGCGUCAGAUUAGGUAGAUGGUGAGGUAACGGCUCACCAUGCCGACGAUCUGUAGGGGGCCUGAGAGGGUGAACCCCCACACUGGUACUGAGACACGGACCAGACUCCUACGGGAGGCAGCAGUGAGGAAUAUUGGACAAUGGGUUAGCGCCUGAUCCAGCCAUCCCGCGUGGAGGAAGACGGUCCUAUGGAUUGUAAACUCCUUUUAUAUAAGAAGAACACCCGGUACGUGUACCGGUCUGACGGUAUUAUAUGAAUAAGCACCGGCUAACUCCG
rnacentral:rRNA from 1 species